ACACUGAACAAUUAUAGCUUUAACAAUGCUUUGCAUUAACAUACUUCAAGCAGAGGAUGCUGUAAAAAAAUUAAUCAACUUCGCACUGGCUACCUUUCAGUCUUCAGCAGUUGCUCCCAACUUCUUAUUGUUGGAAGAAACCCUUGGGAUGGAUUGACAGAUGGAUCCACUAUGUCCACAGAAACAAUUAUGGAACAGACCUGCUGUUGUCUCUCUGCAGUAUUUACUGCUUGCCCUGUCUCUCUGCUGAGUUCUGCCUUUUCCCCCUGUUUGUAUCUGUUUUCCCACCUUUCCUUUCUGACAUCUUUUCCUUUCAAGACAUUUUCACAACUGCAAAAUUCAUGUAUAAACCAUGAACCCAUCAGUUGCUUAAGUUUAAGACAGGUAGGAAUGUUGCUUUCUGUUGUUUCUCUGAUCAUAUUCUGACACUCUGUUCAUAUUCUGACACUUUAGGAUUCGAUAGUUGAUAAAAAUGAAUUAGUGCACCAUCACUUUCUUAGAGAAGAAGAUGAUAACGUGUGGUACUCUGUAAUAGUACAAUAUUAAUAAAUAUAUCCAUAACAAAUUCAAAA